rnacentral:lncRNA from 1 species
GGAGGGGAGGGGGGAUAGUAGAGGAUAGGAAAGGCGGCAGAAUACAACAGACACUAGUAUGGCAAUAUGUAAAUCAAUGGAUGUGUAACUGAUGUGAUUCUGCAAUCUGUAUACAGGGUAAAAAUGGGAGUUCAUAACCCACUUGAAUCAAAGUGUGAAAUAUGAUAUAUCAAGAACUAUGUGAUGUUUUGAACAACCAACAACAAAAAUUUAAAAAAAAAAAAUCAUAUGUGAAUGGAAAAGAAAAAAAAAAGUAAGUUGGGCAAAUAAUCAUUUUAACAUAAAUUUUCCAAGUAUAGAAUCUCAUGCAGUGCACCCCUCCCACUCCAAAUACAAAACAAAGCAUUAAUGCAACCUGUUUCUAUACACAGUAUCUUGAUAACAUUUUAAAAAUCAUAAAUAGGUAAAAUACAAUAAGCUUUUAGCAAAUGUAAUCAUAAUUCACUAUUAUUUGACACCAUUGAAAUCAACUACCACUCAGCAAUUUUAGAGUAAUUUCUUUUUGUUUUCACCUUAUAAUUUUCAUAUUACUAUACUGGUAACAUGCUCAAAAUCCUUCCUGCAGUAAAUUAUUUUAUUAAUGGAUAUCUGUCCACCUUAAGACAAACUUCAUUCACAGAGAAAAAUGUAAGAAAGAAUGUAUAAAUCCUAUAUUCAGUUUACUGAUAGAUUUUAGCACUUGACUGAACACCAUAAAACUAAUCCAAAUAACUUUCUUUGGCUGAACACAACACAGAUCCUGUGUUCAUUUAUUGUGUCUACUGGCAAUUAACCAAACAGCUAAAGGAUAUGAUAUAAAAGUGAAUAUUGAGCUGGAGGUGUACCUUUGUGAUAGUAGAGUGUUCUUAGCUCACAAAAGGGCCUAUGUUAAAUCCAAAAAAAAAAAAAGAUGAAUGUAAUGUGAUAUUCUGCCCUUAUGUUGCUCAAAGUUUCCUGAAAGAAAUAUUUAUAAUACCAUAUGAAAAUGCUACAAAAGGUAUAAAGUACUUUGAAAAACACUGGAAGUAGAAGUCAAUGAGAACAUAUAAUCAAAUAAUUUUCUUUUGAAAUGAAACUUAUUUUUUUUUCUUUUUCUUUUUCUUUUUUUUUUUUUUUUUGAGAUUGGGGUGUUACUGUGUUGCCCAGGCUGGUCUUAAAUCUCCUGAACUCAAGGGAUCCUCUAAGGGCUGAGACUACAGGCCACCACACCCAGCUCAGAUUUCUUAUAGACUUACCAAAGGAGGUAGAAGGACAUUGGUGUUUGAACUGAAUUACAGUGUUAUCUGAGCAUUUUUACCCUUUAAAAUGAACACUGAUCUAAUCUGUAAUAGAAUCUUUGCUAAAAGGAAAACAGCUAUAAAGAAAAUAUUACAUCAAAGCUAAGUACUGGAGUUUAUUUGAAAUUUGAUAUUUUAUACAAAAUAACAAACCCUAUUAUAGAUUUCUAAAAUAAAGUAACUCAAUCUUUACAAAACAGUUGGCAUCCAUUUGUUCUCUUACUUUUUCUUUAAAAACUUAAGUGUGGUAGGUGGUAGUAUCUGAUUUUCAUAAGAAUCCUCUGUUGAUUCAACUUAUUUAUUCAGACAUUUACUGUGCCAACUUGCACUAGAAAUAGAAAUGCCUUGGGCUGGGAUUGUGGCUCAGUGGCAGAGCGCUCGCCUAGCUCGCCUAGCUCCUGUGAGGCCCUGGGUUCAAUCCACAGCACCACAUAAAAACAAGUAAAAUAAAGGUAUUGUGUCCAUCUACAACUAAAAAACAAAUUUUAAAAAAAGAAGAAAUAUAAAUGACUGUGGUCUAAAAAAAUUCUAGAAUGAACACAGAUCUUCUGCCUUCAGAUUCCCUCUGCCCUCCACAUUCUAACCCUUUAACAUAAAUCUAGUUAUUAAAAUAAUACAAAUCAUCUCAAAAAAAUAAUAUAAAAUUUUAUGUGUAUAUACAGAUAAUCUGUGAGGUCAUUGUUCUUUUCUGGGUAGACUUAAUAAUGUUUGUUUUCUCAUUUUGCAGUGUUAGAAUACGGGUCAAUUUUAAUUUUGGUAUGAUAUGGAAAAUGGCUCAUCUUUAUACAAGAAAUAGGAUUCUUUUGAUAUCUGGACAGUUGGAAACUUUCUAAAAUUAAGGAUUUUGUACUGUAUAUUCAACAACUGCAUAUUGUAUUCACAAAAAUGUAUUUGAAGUUUGUUAAUAUUAAAUACUUUUUUCCAAG